UAAGGAAUAUUGGUCAAUGGACGCAAGUCUGAACCAGCCAUGCCGCGUGAAGGAUGAAGGUCCUCUGGAUUGUAAACUUCUUUUAUCUGGGACGAAAACGGGAUUUUUAUCUCAAUUGACGGUACCAGAGGAAUAAGCACCGGCUAACUCCGUGCCAGCAGCCGCGGUAAUACGGAGGGUGCGAGCGUUAUCCGGAUUUACUGGGUUUAAAGGGUGCGUAGGUGGGCUUAUAAGUCAGUGGUGAAAUCUUCCGGCUUAACCGGGAAACUGCCUUUGAUACUAUUUGUCUUGAAUAUUGCGGAGGUAAGCGGAAUAUGUCAUGUAGCGGUGAAAUGCUUAGAUAUGACAUAGAACACCAAUCGCGAAGGCAGCUUACUACACAAUCAUUGACACUGAGGCACGAAAGCGUGGGUAGCGAACA
rnacentral:rRNA from 1 species